ACGCGAGACCCAGCUUCCAAAACCCAGAUCCUUGGACUGAACCCUUGGCUCACUGAACCCAGCUUUCCCUCCUUGACGAACGCGUUUGGACACUGCUUUUGAUUCUAGUUUCAUCCAGUUGGGAUAAUGGCCUCAUAAGAAGAGAAAAACCCAAUGGAAAUAGGAUAAUAUUCCUUAUGCAAGUUGGACUACUGCAAUGCAUUAUAAUUGGGGCUGCAUUUGAAGACAGUUCAGAAACUGCAGCUAGUACAGAAUUCAGCGGCCAGAUUGUUGA